GUGUGGGACACUGCGGAGAGGCAAAGUCAGGUGAGAUCAGAGAAAGGACCCUGGCUGCAGCAUGAGGACGGGGGUCACUGGUGGCCUCUAGGACAGCAGCUGUGCAAUCAUGAGCAAGUGCUUAGCCACAGAACUGAACUCCGUCACCUCCUCUGUACAAUGGAGAUACCACCACCUACCUUCUGCUCCCAGCAUGGAGGAACUAACAUGAGGAGAUUCCAAAGGGCAUCCAUCAGCUCUUGGCAGCAGGGGCAGUUCUCAGGAACCUUAGCAGGUCCAUGAUUACCCUCUCCCCAAAGACCUUCUAAACCAAUAUCCAAGACCAUCUGGCCUCUUUCCAUUCUUUGCUGGUGUGCUGCCUCCUCUGUCGCCCAGUGCCUGCUCCUCGGGUGGUCCAAGCUAUCCAUGGUGGACAGCCAGCUCAGUGCACUCUGC